rnacentral:rRNA from 1 species
GACGAACGCUGGCGGCGUGCUUAACACAUGCAAGUCGAACGGAAAGGCCCUGCUUUUGUGGGGUGCUCGAGUGGCGAACGGGUGAGUAACACGUGAGUAACCUGCCCUUGACUUUGGGAUAACUUCAGGAAACUGGGGCUAAUACCGGAUAGGAGCUCCUGCUGCAUGGUGGGGGUUGGAAAGUUUCGGCGGUUGGGGAUGGACUCGCGGCUUAUCAGCUUGUUGGUGGGGUAGUGGCUUACCAAGGCUUUGACGGGUAGCCGGCCUGAGAGGGUGACCGGCCACAUUGGGACUGAGAUACGGCCCAGACUCCUACGGGGGGCAGCAGUGGGGAAUAUUGCACAAUGGGCGGAGGCCUGAUGCAGCAACGCCGCGUGGGGGAUGACGGCCUUCGGGUUGUAAACCGCUUUCGCCUGUGACGAAGCGUGAGUGACGGUAAUGGGUAAAGAAGCACCGGCUAACUACGUG